GUAGUUCGAUCCGUGGCUACGAGGACGACGCUGGCGGCGUGCUUAACACAUGCAAGUCGAACGAUGAUCAGGAGCUUGCUCCUGUGAUUAGUGGCGAACGGGUGAGUAACACGUGAGUAACCUGCCCCUGACUCUGGGAUAAGCGUUGGAAACGACGUCUAAUACUGGAUAUGAUCACUGGCCGCAUGGUCUGGUGGUGGAAAGAUUUUUGGUUGGGGAUGGACUCGCGGCCUAUCAGCUUGUUGGUGAGGUAAUGGCUCACCAAGGCGACGACGGGUAGCCGGCCUGAGAGGGUGACCGGCCACACUGGGACUGAGACACGGCCCAGACUCCUACGGGAGGCGGCAGUGGGGAAUAUUGCACAAUGGGCGAAAGCCUGAUGCAGCAACGCCGCGUGAGGGAUGACGGCCUUCGGGUUGUAAACCUCUUUUAGUAGGGAAGAAGCGAAAGUGACGGUACCUGCAGAAAAAGCACCGGCUAACUACGUG
rnacentral:rRNA from 1 species